CCCACCAAAUGCCACGACUCCUUCCGUCCUUCUUACUCAUUUUUUAUUUACUAAUAUAAAAAUAAAAUAGAAAACUCAUACUUUUUCACCUGUGCAUUUUUGCCGUCAUUCUUCUCGAGCUCUCCCUCCACCUCUCUCACUCUCUUAGGGCACUAGAAGAAUAAGGAAGAGAUUAUUAUCUAAAUUCCGUUGAUGAUUUGUCUCGCUAAUCUUGGAUAAUGUCAAAUUUCUAGUCAAAGAAAAGUUGUACAGAGAUUUUCAUACCCUUGUCUUAUUCGGAGGUCCAUUGAAAUUGUAGUCUAGGAAGCUCUGGAUUUACUUGCUGAUAGUGGAAAGAUAACAUUGAAAGAGUAUGACAAUCAGAAGAUCUACAUUGCAAGUCAAGACUAGUUUGAAAGUCUGUGACCUUACUCACAUGACGGAAGAGAGAAUGGAAACAAGAAUAAAUAAGUGAACAGAUCAAAGGAAGCCAUUUUUGAGUUUAAGGGAGGGAAAAUAAAUUCAUGGGUAGCAAGAGAAACAAGGAUAUUCAUUGAGAGUUAUUAGCUGCAUAGCAUUUCUUGCAUGAAAAGGUCAGGCCCAAAUCAACAAUGUCCAAAAACUAAAGAUUAUGAAAGGCGGAAACCCAUUUACUCUCAACUUCAUUCAAGAGUGUCAGUUGCAGGUGUAGUUGCUGGUGUCGCUUCGGCCUCAACAACCUCAAUCGCGACACCAACCGAAAUAUCAUCUGGAAAACUAAAUGACCAUAGCUUCUGGUAGCAUUACAUUGCAGGUGUAGCGGUUGGUGUUGCUUCAGCCUCAACGACCUCAAUCGCGACACAAACCGAAGUAUCAUCUGGAAAACUAAAUGAACAAAGCUGCUAGUAGCAUCACAUUGCAUUGAGAUAGUAGAGGCUGAUCAAGAUUAGGAACCUGUCAUCUUAACAAGUGAGACAAACGACAAUGGUUUUCUUUUGAUUAUCUCAGUUCUUGCGGUUUUUUUUGUGGCUUAUGCCUUUGUGUAAUGUUAAAUAUGUUGUUUGGGGAAUACCAAUUUUUCUUUGAUUAUUUAGAUUGUUUGGCUUUGUAAUUUUGCCCAAGUCGAACGAUGUAAUUUUAUCCAUCUUUUUUUAUUAUAAUGAUAUUCUUUUUUAA